UCUGACGAAGCUUUUGUGACGGUAGGAGCAGAAGAAGCACCGGCUAACUACGUGCCAGCAGCCGCGGUAAUACGUAGGGUGCGAGCGUUGUCCGGAAUUAUUGGGCGUAAAGAGCUUGUAGGCGGUUUGUCGCGUCUGCUGUGAAAUCCCGGGGCUUAACUCCGGGCUUGCAGUGGGUACGGGCAGGCUAGAGUGUGGUAGGGGAGACUGGAAUUCCUGGUGUAGCGGUGGAAUGCGCAGAUAUCAGGAGGAACACCGAUGGCGAAGGCAGGUCUCUGGGCCACUACUGACGCUGAGAAGCGAAAGCGUGGGGAGCGAACAGGAUUAGAUACCCUGGUAGUCCACGCCGUAAACGUUGGGCGCUAGGUGUGGGUCCCAUUCCACGGGGUCCGUGCCGCAGCUAACGCAUUAAGCGCCCCGCCUGGGGAGUACGGCCGCAAGGCUAAAACUCAAAGGAAUUGACGGGGGCCCGCACAAGCGGCGGAGCAUGCGGAUUAAUUCGAUGCAACGCGAAGAACCUUACCAAGGCUUGACAUAUACCGGAAACAUCCAGAGAUGGGUGCCCCGCAAGGUCGGUAUACAGGUGGUGCAUGGUUGUCGUCAGCUCGUGUCGUGAGAUGUUGGGUUAAGUCCCGCAACGAGCGCAACCCUCGUUCUAUGUUGCCAGCACGUGAUGGUGGGGACUCAUAGGAGACUGCCGGGGUCAACUCGGAGGAAGGUGGGGAUGACGUCAAUCAUCAUGCCCCUUACGUCUUG
rnacentral:rRNA from 1 species